ACUGGGACAGUUGAUCUGAUAAUGGAGCGGCCAUAUGGUGACUAACGGGAUGGCAUCAGAGCCAGCAUGGAGAUGCUUGACAAAGGGACAGGUCCCCUCCUGAGCGGGAUAGAAGGUAACUGAAACCUCAGAAUGAAGAAACCUUGGAUAAGGGGAGACAACCACAAAUAGCUUUCUCAUAAGACACAAAAAGAUGUAUCAGCACCCCAAGUCACCAAGGGCAGGAUUCAUUCAAGAGAGCCUGUGGAAAUAUAAGGUACAUCACAGUGUUAUUGCCCUAUCUGAGAAGUCUGAAGCUCCUGAGAGAUGAACAAGAUGUUCUGGAGGUUGAGAAUUUUGAGAUCAAGAUUCCAGCAAGGCACUCUGUAAAUAUUUAUCAGAUGAGUGAAAUGAAGAAAGACUCCUGAAGUAUCUUUGCAGAGAAUACUUGAAGGUAGUGCUGUCCUCAGUCUCCUGGGGCAUACUUCUCUCCCGAUCUGGCACAAACUACCCCUCAGGGCUUAAAGACAUGCGGAUGACAGAUGAUCAAGUAACAUCAGAAAUGCAGCAGGCACAACCUCUUCACUCCUCUCACUCACUCUCAAAGCUGACUUUGAAGGAUGGGUAGGUGGACACCAUGGAAGAGUGAUGCCUCCCAGUUUUCUCACAGAAAACUCUUCAGUGAUGCCCACGUGGUUUUUCACCCUCGUGCUUGAAGAGUGACUGCCAGACUGCUACUCUGGUUUCGGAAUGGGACUGCUGAGAAGAAAUAAAAUAAGGCGUUUGGAGGCAUUUCCCACAAGGGUUGUAACGGAGGCAGAAGGGAUUGUC